rnacentral:rRNA from 1 species
AGAGUUUGAUUAUGGCUCAGGAUGAACGCUGGCGGUAUGCUUAACACAUGCAAGUCGAACGGUCUCUUCGGAGAUAGUGGCGGACGGGUGAGUAACGCGUGAGAAUCUGCCUUCAGGUCUGGGACAACCAUUGGAAACGGUGGCUAAUACCGGAUGAGCAGAGAUGUGAAAGAUUAAUUGCCUGAAGAGGAGCUCGCGUCUGAUUAGCUAGUUGGUGGGGUAAGAGCUUACCAAGGCGACGAUCAGUAGCUGGUCUGAGAGGACGAUCAGCCACACUGGGACUGAGACACGGCCCAGACUCCUACGGGAGGCAGCAGUGGGGAAUUUUCCGCAAUGGGCGAAAGCCUGACGGAGCAAUACCGCGUGAGGGAGGAAGGCUCUUGGGUCGUAAACCUCUUUUCUCAGGGAAGAAAAAAAUGACGGUACCUGAGGAAUAAGCAUCGGCUAACUCCGUGCCAGCAGCCGCGGUAAUACGGAGGAUGCAAGCGUUAUCCGGAAUGAUUGGGCGUAAAGCGUCCGCAGGUGGCUAUGUAAGUCUGCUGUUAAAGAGCAAGGCUCAACCUUGUAAAAGCGGUGGAAACUACAUAGCUAGAGUGCGUUCGGGGCAGAGGGAAUUCCUGGUGUAGCGGUGAAAUGCGUAGAGAUCAGGAAGAACACCGGUGGCGAAAGCGCUCUGCUAGGCCGCAACUGACACUGAGGGACGAAAGCUAGGGGAGCGAAUGGGAUUAGAUACCCCAGUAGUCCUAGCCGUAAACGAUGGAUACUAGCGUGGCUUGUAUCGACCCGAGCCGUGCCGGAGCUAACGCGUUAAGUAUCCCGCCUGGGGAGUACGCAGGCAACUGUGAAACUCAAAGGAAUUGACGGGGCCCGCACAGCGGUGGAGU